rnacentral:rRNA from 1 species
CAGCGCCAUGAGUGGCAAUCAUAAUUAUUGGGCCUAAAGCAUCCGUAGCCGGUUUUACAAGUCCUCCGUUAAAUCCAGCUGCUUAACAGAUGGGCUGCGGAGGAUACUAUAAGACUAGGAGGCAGGAGAGGCAAGCGGUACUCAGUGGGUGGGGGUAAAAUCCGUUGAUCCAUUGAAGACCACCAGUGGCGAAGGCGGCUUGCCAGAAUGCGCUCGACGGUGAGGGAUGAAAGCUGGGGGAGCAAAACGGAUUAGAUACACGAGUAGUCC